rnacentral:rRNA from 1 species
GAGAACGAAGCCCUUCGGGGGUGUAAACUCUGUUGUGAGGGACGAAUAAGAUCUGAGAAAUGCCAGAUCGAUGACGUACUCACGAGAAAGCCCCGGCUAACUACGUGCCAGCAGCCGCGGUAAUACGUAGGGGGCGAGCGUUACCCGGAUUCACUGGGCGUAAAGGGGGCGCAGGCGAUCCAGUAUGUCGGGUGUGAAAUCCCACAGCUCAACUGUGGAAUUGCGCCCGAAACUACUGGGUUUGGGGCUGGUAGAGGGAGACGGAACUGCUGGUGUAGGGGUGAAAUCCGUAGAUAUCAGCAGGAACGCCGGUGGGGAAGCCGGUCUCCUGGGCCAAGCCCGACGCUGAGGCCCGAAAGCUAGGGGAGCAAACCGGAUUAGAUACCCGGGUAGUCCUAGCCGUAAACGAUGCCCACUAGGUGUGGGGGAGUCAUUCCUCCGUGCUGUAGCUAACGCGUUAAGUGGGCCGCCUGGGGAGUACGCCCGCAAGGGUGAAACUCAAAGGAAUUGGCGGGACCCCGCACAAGCGGUGGAGCGUGUGGUUUAAUUGGAUGCUAAGCCAAGAACCUUACCAGGGCUUGACAUGCAGGUGGUACCAACCCGAAAGGGAAGGGACCCUUUCCUUUUGGAAAGGGAGCCUGCACAGGUGGUGCACGGCCGUCGUCAGCUCGUGCCGUGAGGUGUUGGGUUAAGUCCCGCAACGAGCGCAACCCCUGCCCUUAGUUGCCAGCGGUUCGGCCGGGCACUCUAAGGGGACCGCCGGCGACGAGCCGGAGGAAGGAGGGGACGACGUCAGGUACUCGUGCCCUUUAUGCCCUGGGCUACACACGCGCUACAAUGGGUGGUACAGUGGGUCGCGACCUCGCGAGAGGGAGCCAAUCCCCAAAACCAUCCUCAGUUCAGAUCGCAGGCUGCAACCCGCCUGCGUGAAGCCGGAAUCGCUAGUAAUCGCGGAUCAGCCAUGCCGCGGUGAAUACGUUCCCGGGGUU